rnacentral:rRNA from 1 species
CUACGGGCGGCUGCAGUGGGGAAUUUUGGACAAUGGGGGCAACCCUGAUCCAGCCAUGCCGCGUGAGUGAAGAAGGCCUUCGGGUUGUAAAGCUCUUUCGGCCGGGAAAAAAUCGCAUGGGUUAACACCCUGUGUGGAUGAUGGUACCGGAAUAAGAAGCACCGGCUAACUACGUGCCAGCAGCCGCGGUAAUACGUAGGGUGCGAGCGUUAAUCGGAAUUACUGGGCGUAAAGCGUGCGCAGGCGGUUUGAUAAGACAGGCGUGAAAUCCCCGGGCUCAACCUGGGAACUGCGCUUGUGACUGUCUCACUAGAGUACGGCAGAGGGGGGUGGAAUUCCACGUGUAGCAGUGAAAUGCGUAGAGAUGUGGAGGAACACCAAUGGCGAAGGCAGCCCCCUGGGUCGAUACUGACGCUCAUGCACGAAAGCGUGGGGAGCAAACAGGAUUAGAUACCCCCGUAGUC